UACGGGGGGGGCAAGCGUUGUUCGGAAUUACUGGGCGUAAAGGGCUCGUAGGCGGCCAACUAAGUCAGACGUGAAAUCCCUCGGCUUAACCGGGGAACUGCGUCUGAUACUGGAUGGCUUGAAUCCGGGAGAGGGAUGCGGAAUUCCAGGUGUAGCGGUGAAAUGCGUAGAUAUCGGGAGGAACACCGGUGGCGAAGGCGGCCUUCUGGACGGAUACUGACGCUGAGGCACGAGGGCCAGGGGAGCAAACGGG
rnacentral:rRNA from 1 species